GGCAACUGAACAAUAUGACGGAACAUUGUGAAUUGUUCUUCACCGUUGUUCAAGGGAUCAGUUGUUCAACAGUUAUUACUAUUUCGAGAAAACUCAAUAAUUUUUUUCAUAAAUAAUCCAACAACAUAAAAUGACAACAAAAGAUGAUGCUCCGAGUUUCGCAUCGACAGGACAGUUUCCGGAAAGCUUUUUGUUCGGUGCAUCAACCGGAGCAUUUCAAGUCGAAGGAGCUUGGGACGAGG